rnacentral:sRNA from 1 species
CUUCAGCGGGGGGUGGGUGUAUUCGAAAGGCUCAUAGUUUUUUGUAUUGUGUUAUUUUGGUUUGGGUUGGUUUGAUUUCCUUUAUAAUUUUUUUCAUUUAUGUUCUACCGCUCGUUUAUGCCCUCUCUUCCUUUUCUUAGGGAAGGAAGUAGAUUGGGUUAACGGGGUGCAUGUAUGUAGGUACGCACGCACGUAUGUACGUAUGUAUGCACGUAUGCUCGCGCGUUUCAUUUUUUUUUUUUCAACAUCAUGUAAGUUUAGCUUUUGUUGGAGUACAGGAGGCGGGGCGAGGAAGGCGCA